rnacentral:ncRNA from 1 species
CACCGUUUUUGGUCCUAUACUUCCUGUUACUUUUAGCUGCACUUACACAUGCCAGCCUCCACAUCCCAGUGCAACCGCCCAAGCCCCUACCCCCUAGACCAGGAGCAGAUAUCAGGCACGCAGCCCCUGCAGCCCAAAACAUCUCGUUCUACCACACCCCCACGGGACCCAGCAGUGAUAAAUAUUAAACAUAAGCGCCCGCUUGAUUUAAUGACAGCUAAACAGGGCCGGUAAAUUUCGUGCCAGCCACCGCGGUUAUACGAAAGGCCCAAAAUAACUACCCCCGGCGUAAAUUGUGGCUAGAGAAAAGCCAAGCCAAGAAAUCAAAACCGCAACCCAGCCGUAAAACGCACAAGACACGAAGAACACCCACUAAUCUCAAAACUUUAGCACCCUUGAACCCACGAAAACCAAGAAACAAACUAGGAUUAGAUACCCUACUAUGCUCGGUCCUUAACCCAGGCCAAACCAACACCAAUAGCCCGCCAGAAGACUACAAGUGAAAAACUCAAAACUCAAAGGACUUGACGGUGCCCCACCCCCCUAGAGGAGCCUGUCCUAUAAUCGAUACCCCACGCUACACCCAACCCGCCCUAGCACUUCAGCCUAUAUACCGCCGUCGCCAGCCUACCUCAUGAGAGCUUAACCGUAGGCCAAAUGAUUCCCCACCAACACGUCAGGUCAAGGUGUAGCUAAUGGGCGGGAAGAGAUGGGCUACAUUUUCUAAACUAGAACACUACCACCAGCGGCAUGAAACACCCAGCCAAAAGGCGGAUUUAGCAGUAAACAAGACAAUGACAUGUCAUCUUGAAGCCAGCCCUGGGGCGCGUACACACCGCCCGUCACCCUCCUCACAGUCCUUAUUUACUACAUAAGCAUCCUAAUAGACACCAAGAUGGGGUAAGUCGUAACAUGGUAAGCGUACUGGAAAGUGCGCUUGGAACAC